ensembl:lncRNA
CUGCAGACGAGAGGAGAAAGCCAUCCGACAGCAGCAACCAACUCUAUCAUCUCCACUAGAGGGAGGGCUAUCUCACAACAAGGCCACCAAGGAGCUGCAUCUGAGGGUCAGCAUGUGGUGAGUCAGUAGAAGCGAGCCAGCGAGCGCCUGAUCUCCGAGCGAGGCUUGUCAGCGUGGUCCUGAGUGGGCUGUGUGGAGCUUCUGUCAGAGAGUGUCACAUUUCCACGGCCCACACUGUGGCUCCUCUGUCCUCCUCAUGGCUGCAGCUCAAUGGGUCCUUUGAUGGGCCAACCCGAGGCCUUUCAUCAUCCAUCUCGCCACGGGGCACGGGGGCCAUGGGGGGUUGUGCCUCACAACACCUGGCAGGUAUGCAAAACCACGUGCCCGAGACAAAACAAAAGCCACUCUGUCAAACGUUUAUUGGAAAUUAAUUUCCUCUCCCUGAUUCUUUUUUUUUUUGUGCCUGUAAAUUGAAGAACGGAAAAGAACACGAUGAUGAGGGGCAGCGCUCAGACAUGGGGCAGUCACCAGACUGCGAGACCAUGCAAACUUGAUCUCCUGGACUGAGGUGGCUCAAAAACAUGCCCAUCUGAGCCAAAUAAUACUAAAAGUGCAGUGUAAAUUGGGCUGUCGCAUCUGUCUUGGGUCUUAUCGUACUUGGCCCUCUCCAGUUCCCAUACACCUGCCCCACGCUUCCCUUCGGCUGCACCCUUCUUCUCUUUUUGCCCCUGCCCCACAUACAGCAGGUCUGUCCCUGGGAUCAUCUUCUUCCUCCCCUUAUCUGCAGUUCAAAGUCUGUUGACUGAAUUAUCUCCGGACGGUAAGAGAGAAAGGAAACAACUGUCGUCAGCUCUCAGUCAGCCGGGGAGAAACUCGUCCCUGACAGCCGGUUGGUUAACCGGUCUUUACAGCCUAAUCCUGUGGUGGAGGCAUGGGAGCAGGGAGAGACAGCACAGCGUGAGGACACAUCAGCGUCUGCACACAGACAAAUGGCCUCAGUGUUUGCUUUCGGGGAGAGCGGUGUCACGAGAUAGUGGAUCUUCGUAGCGAGAGCGGAAGCUGAAGUCUCAGGUUUGAGUGGCCACAGAGAGCACAUGACUGAGGUGUUGAGAGGAAAGGUGUGGUGGCCGGGCCCUGCGGGAAGACAGAGGAGAAGAAAGAACAAGUGCUGCACAGCGGGAUGAGUGGAGGCUAUUGAACUCAGAACACCUGUGUUCACUGAUCAAAGGGAUUAUUGGUGUCUUGGGGCUUUGUUGCACCAGCCAUGUUGUUUCCAUAAUCACAGUUGCGCUCAGAGUGUCGAAGUUGAGCAAAGCAAAUCAGUUUUUAAAUCAACAUCACCAGUCAGCAUGAACGUUUUUCUACCAUGUGAUCUGGGACUAAAUACAGUACGGCCUGAUAAAUAAAGGUGGUUUAAAGGCGCCCAAGUCCUCCACAUUCACAUAGAUGUCCCCUCUGGCCUCG